rnacentral:misc_RNA from 1 species
UUGAAUUUUUUGAAAGAGGUUGUAGCUGAUCAAAACCCAAGAUAAUGUGCACACCUCAUUUCCAAAAUCUCACACCAUGUGCACUCUUUGUAGGCCAACUUUUUGGUCUAUGUCUGUCAUACACACACGAAAAGAAUUUAAUAGAAAAACAAGAAUUAUUAAAUUAAUUUA